GAUGAAGAACGUAGCGAAAUGCGAUAAGUAAUGUGAAUUGCAGAAUUCAGUGAAUCAUCGAAUCUUUGAACGCACAUUGCGCCCCUUGGUAUUCCGGGGGGCAUGCCUGUUCGAGCGUCAUUUCAACCCUCAAGCUUCUGCUUGGUCUUGGGCCGUGCCGGCAACGGCUGGCCUUAAAACUAGUGGCGGUGCCAUCGAGCUCUACGCGUAGUAAUUCUAUCUCGCGUCUGGGCUUCGGUGGACGCUGGCCAGCAACCCCCAAUUUUCUAUGGUUGACCUCGGAUCAGGUAGGGAUACCCGCUGAACUUAAGCAUAUCAUAAGCGGAGG
rnacentral:misc_RNA from 1 species